rnacentral:lncRNA from 1 species
UGCUUCUAACUAUAGAUUACCUCAGAGGGAUAGUAGAGGAUUUCGACUCGGUGUGUCCAGUUCGGGUCAAUUCAAAUCUCGAUCACCGGGAAGUCAGGGCCCUAGAUUCAGUCCCAGUACUGUACAACAGCCAUUUGCCAAUCGUACUUAUACUCAGGGUUCUUCCCAGAGACUAUUUACUCCGAGACAGGGCGAGAGUUUUACUAGUACUAGACUUUCUUAUUGUCAAUUAUGUAGAAGACCUCAUCUCGGCACGUGUUUAAAGUUCAAAUGGAGCGGAGUCUAUUAUCAUUGUGGUCAAGGCGGACACAUUAGAAGAAAUUGUCCAGUUCUAUCACAGAAGAGUGGCAUGGUACUGAAGACAUUUUCUCAGCAGAGUGCUAGUAGUACAAGACAGAAUAUGACUCAGAG